GACGAACGCUGGCGGCGUGCUUAACACAUGCAAGUCGAACGGAAAGGCCCUGCUUUUGUGGGGUGCUCGAGUGGCGAACGGGUGAGUAACACGUGAGUAACCUGCCCUUGACUUUGGGAUAACUUCAGGAAACUGGGGCUAAUACCGGAUAGGAGCUCCUGCUGCAUGGUGGGGGUUGGAAAGUUUCGGCGGUUGGGGAUGGACUCGAGGCUUAUCAGCUUGUUGGUGGGGUAGUGGCUUACCAAGGCUUUGACGGGUAGCCGGCCUGAGAGGGUGACCGGCCACAUUGGGACUGAGAUACGGCCCAGACUCCUACGGGAGGCAGCAGUGGGGAAUAUUGCACAAUGGGCGGAAGCCUGAUGCAGCAACGCCGCGUGCGGGAUGACGGCCUUCGGGUUGUAAACCGCUUUCGCCUGUGACGAAGCGUGAGUGACGGUAAUGGGUAAAGAGGCACCGGCUAACUACGUG
rnacentral:rRNA from 1 species